GAUGCUACUGUCAUAAUUUUGCCUACUCAACAUCGAAAUAACAUGACGUCAUUUGUUUUUGUUUUGAUCUCCGACAACCGAAACAAAUUAAACAAGAUUGUCGCAAAAAAGUGUAUUUUAGAUUUUAGGAUGUAAAACAUAUUGCGAAGAAUAAAUACGUCAGGCAUUAAAAACUAACGACAUUCGUGCAUGGAAAAUGUUGGUUUCGCAACGCAGGUUUCCAGAAAGCUGGAUAGAACGCCCGUUAUUGCGGUUACUGCAUGCCGAUUCCUGCCGAUACUAUAAUGAACAGAUUGUUUGGAUCUGCCAUCAGAAUGCAAAAAUAUGUCCAAGACGUUUCUACGGCAGUGAUUUCGUGUUGGCCAAAGAGGAAAGGAAUCUGAUACCUACCACGGCAAUUUUUGGGCUGAUGCAAACUCCUUGCAUUGCAACGCAAGAUGUUUUCUAAGGUUGUUUCACUAGACAGUUAGUUCAAUCAAUUAAAAAAAAAAACAAUUAAUGUGAUCUUUUUGUUUGAGAAAUAAAAUAUGUAUGUUACCAAAGA